CCAGGUGGGAUUAGCUAGUUGGUGAGGUAAUGGCUCACCAAGGCGACGAUCCCUAGCUGGUUUGAGAGGAUGAUCAGCCACACUGGAACUGAGACACGGUCCAGAUUCCUACGGGAGGCAGCAGUGGGGAAUAUUGCACAAUGGGCGCAAGCCUGAUGCAGCCAUGCCGCGUGUGUGAAGAAGGCCUUCGGGUUGUAAAGCACUUUCAGUCGUGAGGAAGGUAGUGUAGUUAAUAGCUGCAUUAUUUGACGUUAGCGACAGAAGAAGCACCGGCUAACUCCGUGCCAGCAGCCGCGGUAAUACGGAGGGUGCGAGCGUUAAUCGGAAUUACUGGGCGUAAAGCGCAUGCAGGUGGUUAGUUAAGUCAGAUGUGAAAGCCCGGGGCUCAACCUCGGAACUGCAUUUGAAACUGGCUGACUAGAGUACUGUAGAGGGGGGUAGAAUUUCAGGUGUAGCGGUGAAAUGCGUAGAGAUCUGAAGGAAUACCGGUGGCGAAGGCGGCCCCCUGGACAGAUACUGACACUCAGAUGCGAAAGCGUGGGGAGCAAACAGGAUUAGAUACCCUGGUAGUCCACGCCGUAAACGAUGUCUACUUGGAGGUUGUGGCCUUGAGCCGUGGCUUUCGGAGCUAACGCGUUAAGUAGACCGCCUGGGGAGUACGGUCGCAAGAUUAAAACUCAAAUGAAUUGACGGGGGCCCGCACAAGCGGUGGAGCAUGUGGUUUAAUUCGAUGCAACGCGAAGAACCUUACCUACUCUUGACAUCCAGAGAACUUAGCAGAGAUGCUUUGGUGCCUUCGGGAACUCUGAGACAGGUGCUGCAUGGCUGUCGUCAGCUCGUGUUGUGAAAUGUUGGGUUAAGUCCCGCAACGAGCGCAACCCUUAUCCUUGUUUGCCAGCACUUCGGGUGGGAACUCCAGGGAGACUGCCGGUGAUAAACCGGAGGAAGGUGGGGACGACGUCAAGUCAUCAUGGCCCUUACGAGUAGGGCUACACACGUGCUACAAUGGCGCAUACAGAGGGCGGCCAACUUGCGAAAGUGAGCGAAUCCCAAAAAGUGCGUCGUAGUCCGGAUUGGAGUCUGCAACUCGACUCCAUGAAGUCGGAAUCGCUAGUAAUC
rnacentral:rRNA from 1 species